CACGUAGGCGGACUCUUAAGUCGGUGGUGAAAUCCUGGAGCUCAACUCCAGAACUGCCUUCGAUACUGAGAGUCUCGAGUCCGAGAGAGGUGAGUGGAACUGCGAGUGUAGAGGUGAAAUUCGUAGAUAUUCGCAAGAACACCAGUGGCGAAGGCGGCUCACUGGCUCGGUACUGACGCUGAGGUGCGAAAGCGUGGGGAGCAAACA
rnacentral:rRNA from 1 species